rnacentral:rRNA from 1 species
GAUGAACGCUGGCGGCGUGCCUAAUACAUGCAAGUCGAGCGAAUGGAUUAAGAGCUUGCUCUUAUGAAGUUAGCGGCGGACGGGUGAGUGACACGUGGGUAACCUGCCCAUAAGACUGGGAUAACUCCGGGAAACCGGGGCUAAUACCGGAUAACAUUUUGAACCGCAUGGUUCGAAAUUGAAAGGCGGCUUCGGCUGUCACUUAUGGAUGGACCCGCGUCGCAUUAGCUAGUUGGUGAGGUAACGGCUCACCAAGGCAACGAUGCGUAGCCGACCUGAGAGGGUGAUCGGCCACACUGGGACUGAGACACGGCCCAGACUCCUACGGGAGGCAGCAGUAGGGAAUCUUCCGCAAUGGACGAAAGUCUGACGGAGCAACGCCGCGUGAGUGAUGAAGGCUUUCGGGUCGUAAAACUCUGUUGUUAGGGAAGAACAAGUGCUAGUUGAAUAAGCUGGCACCUUGACGGUACCUAACCAGAAAGCCACGGCUAACUACGUGCCAGCCGCCGCGGUAA